ensembl:lncRNA
UUCACUAGAGACUGCCCACAAUUCACUCAAUAGGAGGCCAUCAACAGAUAACCUGAGAUGUUGGCUCACCUCUCAGCUGUCGAAUCCUUACGAGGAAGGAUUAUGGACCAGGUGAGAAGGAUGCUUGACUACCUUAAUCUUGUGGGCUAUGGCCUGUGGGCUGGUUUUGGCUGGGGUUCUACAGGUGGAACGGCUACAGCCUUCUGCUCAGUCUGCGAGGAGCCUUUGUUAUCUCCGCAGCGAGUUUUGGACUCUGACAGUUUUUGAAGAAGAAAAAAAGAGGCAAGGACAGUGGCUCUUUGUGUCUCUCAAAGGCAGCACUGUUUCUGUGGGCUGGCACAGCCCACGGACAACGUGCUGCCCUUCAUGCGGGAUUGUUUUACUGCCCCGACGCAUGGACUGCCCGGUGCCAGCCUUCAUGUAGGAGAGAAAGGCUGGAUGCCCCCUGCGAUGCCAGGACAACUCACAGAGCAGCAAAUGGAGAUCACUUUCUGAUGGUGACUGUCAACAAUCCCUCCUCAUCCUCUCUUCGAGUCCCUGGGGAGCAAGUUUCAGGGCGUGCUUCCUGUUACCUGACUCACUUCAGGCUCCUGUCGCCUAGAGGUCAAUGGUGGUCUUGACCUUAGAAGCAUUUUUGAAGACCAGCUCUGUGCCACCCACUGCACCGGGUGCUGAGAUACCAAGAGAAAACAUUCCAGUCUUCACAGAGCUUCUAGGAGCUCAGCAGCUAAAUAGAGAAACUGUCUCCGUGCGUGGGAUGAGUCCUGUUUUCUCUAUGAUUUCCUCCAAAAGAAAGAGCAAUAAAUAAAGCAAGGCAAACAUGAGCUGUGUCAACAGAGCAAAACACCUGCGGGACAACUCAAAGCUGACAAAGACUCAUGCAACUUUUUAAUGGCUUGUCCUCAAUCCAGCAGUAAGAUUUUCCUGACAGUAACUCUCUCCCUGCCAAAGAGAGCAGGACCCUUGAAUCUGAUGGAGAAAUUGACUAUAAGACUGUACUGUGGUUUCUGGGGACGCUGGAAAAAAUUUG